CCUUAGUACGAGAGGACCGGGAUGGAUAUACCUCUGGUGUACCAGUUGUCGUGCCAACGGCAUAGCUGGGUAGCUAUGUAUGGACGGGAUAAGUGCUGAAAGCAUCUAAGCAUGAAGCCCCCCUCAAGAUGAGAUUUCCCAACUUCGGUUAUAAGAUCCCUCGAAGAUGACGAGGUUAAUAGGUUCGAGGUGGAAGCGUGGAGACACGUGGAGCUGACGAAUACUAAUCGAUCGAAGACUUAAUCAA
rnacentral:rRNA from 1 species